GGGACGAUAGUUAAUAAAUAACAUUUAAUUUGCAAUUAAAAAUUAUUAAUAAAUAAUUAAUUCAUCUCA
rnacentral:tRNA from 1 species